GGUUAUAACUCAGUGGUAGAGUGCUUGCCUGGCAUGUGAGAGGUACUGGGUUUGAUCCUCAGUACCA
rnacentral:tRNA from 1 species